UACAGAGGUCUCUAGCGUUGUUCGGAUUCAUUGGGCGUAAAGGGCGCGUAGGCGGCGGGGUAAGUCUGGUGUGAAAUCUCGGAGCUCAACUCCGAAAUUGCACUGGAUACUGCUCUGCUAGAGGGCUGGAGAGGAGAUCGGAAUUCACGGUGCAGCAGUGAAAUGCGUAGAUAUCGUGAGGAAGACCAGUGGCGAAGGCGGAUCUCUGGACAGCUCCUGACGCUGAGGCACGAAGGCCAGGGGAGCAAACGGG
rnacentral:rRNA from 1 species